rnacentral:rRNA from 1 species
GUUGCCCGCUUUCUUUAGUCCUAACACAUGCAAGUCGAACGGCAGCACAGUAAGAGCUUGCUCUUACGGUUGGCGAGUGGCGGACGAGUGAGGAAUACAUCGGAAUCUACUUUUUCGUGGGGGAUAACGUAGGGCAACUUACGCUAAUACCGCAUACGACCUACGGGUGAAAUCAGGGGAUCUUCGGACCUUUCCCGAUUCAAUGAGCCGAUGUCGGAUUAGCUAGUUGGCGGGGUAAAGUCCCACCAAGGCGACGAUCCGUAGCUGGUCUGAGAGGAUGAUCAGCCACACUGGAACUGAGACACGGUCCAGACUCCUACGGGAGGCAGCAGUGGGGAAUCUUGGACAAUGGGCGCAAGCCUGACCCAGCCAUACCGCGUGAGUGAAGAAGGCCUUCGGGUUGUAAAGCUCUUUUGUUGGGAAAGAAAAGCAGCAGGUUAAUACCCCGACGUUUUGACGGUACCCAAACAAUAAGCCACGGCUAACUUCGUG